rnacentral:lncRNA from 1 species
GACACAGCAUCAUUAUGCACUAUAUUAGUGCAGGGUUCUUUAUUCUUCACAUAUUUCAACAAUGAGUUUUCUAGUGUUUACAUUUCGUUUGAAGACUUUAAAACUGGAUCACGUAUUGUGAGAAAUGCAAAGAGUAGUGAGUCGGAGUGUCUGAAGUUAUCUGGUUUUUUCAAGUUUCUUCCUUCUUAUCCUGUUUUCUAGUCUGGAAUAUGAUUUUGCUUCAUUUCCACCUACAGGACAGAAUAAGGAUUGCUAAGAAGAAGCCGAGGAGGUGCUUUCAGAACUGAAAGUGUUUUUUAAAGAAAACAAAUAUGGAUGGAAUCAAGAGUGAACGCUAUCUCAGUCAGUUGCAGAGAACCCAGCUUCCUGCCAGGGGUGUUUGGCUGCUCCUACUUUCUGCCUUGGAGUUUGCCCAGUACUGAACCUUUGAGUGGCGUAUGAGUUACAAGAGGAAUGACAGUCUGGUGCUGCUAGGAAGAGUGCUGCCAGACCGUAACAUAGUGUAUCUGUGGGAUAUGAUGUAAGGAGAAUGGUAGCUUGUUAAAGAAAGGUGAUGGAAUAAACUCAAUUAAGAGAGCUGCUCA